UACGAAGGGGACUAGCGUUGCUCGGAAUCACUGGGCGUAAAGGGUGCGUAGGCGGGUCUUUAAGUCAGGGGUGAAAUCCUGGAGCUCAACUCCAGAACUGCCUUUGAUACUGAAGAUCUUGAGUUCGGGAGAGGUGAGUGGAACUGCGAGUGUAGAGGUGAAAUUCGUAGAUAUUCGCAAGAACACCAGUGGCGAAGGCGACUUACUGGACACAUAUUGACGCUGAGGUGCGAAAGCGUGGGGAGCAAACAGG
rnacentral:rRNA from 1 species